UACGGAGGGAGCUAGCGUUGUUCGGAAUUACUGGGCGUAAAGAGCGUGUAGGCGGCCAGAUAGGUCCGUUGUGAAAACUCGAGGCUCAACCUCGAGACGCCGAUGGAAACCAUCUGGCUAGAGUCCGGAAGAGGAGAGUGGAAUUCCCGGUGUAGCGGUGAAAUGCGCAGAUAUCGGGAAGAACACCCGUGGCUAAGGCGGCUCUCUAGUACGGUACUGACGCUGAGACGCGAAAGCGUGGGGAGCGAACAGG
rnacentral:rRNA from 1 species